GAUAGCCCCGUAAACGUAAGAUUUUAAUGGAUAGCAGGAUCCUGAGUAGCGCGGGGUCGGAGACGCCUUGCGUGAAACUGCCAGCACCAUCUGGUAAGGCUAAAUACUACUGAGAGACCGAUAGUGAACCAGUACUGUGAAGGAAAAGGUGAAAAAGAAUCUUGAACAAAGAAGUUAAAUAGAACCUGAAACCGUGCGCUUACAAGCGGUCGGAGCCCUUUCGUGGGGUGACGGCGUGCCUUUUGCAUAAUGAGCCUACGAGUUACUCCUCAAUAGCAAGAUUAAGUUCUUCAGGAACGUAGUCGCAGCGAAAGCGAGUCUGAAUAGGGCGUAUAGUUAUUGGGGGUAGACGCGAAACCUGAGUGAUCUACCCAUGGCCAGGAUGAAGUUGCCGUAACAGGUAAUGGAGGUCCGAAUUGGUAAGCGUUGAAAAGCUUUCGGAUGAGCUGUGGGUAGGGGUGAAAGGCUAAUCAAACUGGGAG
rnacentral:rRNA from 1 species